CCUACGGGCGGCAGCAGUGAGGAAUAUUGGUCAAUGGACGAGAGUCUGAACCAGCCAAGUAGCGUGAAGGAUGACUGCCCUAUGGGUUGUAAACUUCUUUUAUAUGGGAAUAAAACGUUCCACGUGUGGGAUUUUGUAUGUACCAUAUGAAUAAGGAUCGGCUAACUCCGUGCCAGCAGCCGCGGUAAUACGGAGGAUCCGAGCGUUAUCCGGAUUUAUUGGGUUUAAAGGGAGCGUAGGUGGAUUGUUAAGUCAGUUGUGAAAGUUUGCGUUUCAACCGUAAAAUUGCAGUUGAAACUGGCAGUCUUGAGUACAGUAGAGGUGGGCGGAAUUCGUGGUGUAGCGGUGAAAUGCUUAGAUAUCACGAAGAACUCCGAUUGCGAAGGCAGUUCACUGGACUGCAACUGACACUGAGGCUCGAAAGUGUGGGUAUCAAACAGGAUUAGAUACCCGGGUAGUC
rnacentral:rRNA from 1 species